rnacentral:rRNA from 1 species
GAGUUUGAUCAUGGCUCAGAUUGAACGCUGGCGGCAGGCCUAACACAUGCAAGUCGAACGGUAACAGGAAACAGCUUGCUGUUUCGCUGACGAGUGGCGGACGGGUGAGUAAUGUCUGGGAAACUGCCUGAUGGAGGGGGAUAACUACUGGAAACGGUAGCUAAUACCGCAUAACGUCGCAAGACCAAAGAGGGGGACCUUCGGGCCUCUUGCCAUCAGAUGUGCCCAGAUGGGAUUAGCUAGUAGGUGGGGUAACGGCUCACCUAGGCGACGAUCCCUAGCUGGUCUGAGAGGAUGACCAGCCACACUGGAACUGAGACACGGUCCAGACUCCUACGGGAGGCAGCAGUGGGGAAUAUUGCACAAUGGGCGCAAGCCUGAUGCAGCCAUGCCGCGUGUAUGAAGAAGGCCUUCGGGUUGUAAAGUACUUUCAGCGGGGAGGAAGGGAGUAAAGUUAAUACCUUUGCUCAUUGACGUUACCCGCAGAAGAAGCACCGGCUAACUCCGUGCCAGCAGCCGCGGUAAUACGGAGGGUGCAAGCGUUAAUCGGAAUUACUGGGCGUAAAGCGCACGCAGGCGGUUUGUUAAGUCAGAUGUGAAAUCCCCGGGCUCAACCUGGGAACUGCAUCUGAUACUGGCAAGCUUGAGUCUCGUAGAGGGGGGUAGAAUUCCAGGUGUAGCGGUGAAAUGCGUAGAGAUCUGGAGGAAUACCGGUGGCGAAGGCGGCCACCUGGACGAAGACUGACGCUCAGGUGCGAAAGCGUGGGGAGCAAACAGGAUUAGAUACCCUGGUAGUCCACGCCGUAAACGAUGUCGACUUGGAGGUUGUGCCCUUGAGGCGUGGCUUCCGGAGCUAACGCGUUAAGUCGACCGCCUGGGGAGUACGGCCGCAAGGUUAAAACUCAAAUGAAUUGACGGGGGCCCGCACAAGCGGUGGAGCAUGUGGUUUAAUUCGAUGCAACGCGAAGAACCUUACCUGGUCUUGACAUCCACGGAAGUUUUCAGAGAUGAGAAUGUGCCUUCGGGAACCGUGAGACAGGUGCUGCAUGGCUGUCGUCAGCUCGUGUUGUGAAAUGUUGGGUUAAGUCCCGCAACGAGCGCAACCCUUAUCCUUUGUUGCCAGCGGUCCGGCCGGGAACUCAAAGGAGACUGCCAGUGAUAAACUGGAGGAAGGUGGGGAUGACGUCAAGUCAUCAUGCCCCUUACGACCAGGGCUACACACGUGCUACAAUGGCGCAUACAAAGAGAAGCGACCUCGCGAGAGCAAGCGGACCUCAUAAAGUGCGUCGUAGUCCGGAUUGGAGUCUGCAACUCGACUCCAUGAAGUCGGAAUCGCUAGUAAUCGUGGAUCAGAAUGCCACGGUGAAUACGUUCCCGGGCCUUGUACACACCGCCCGUCACACCAUGGGAGUGGGUUGCAAAAGAAGUAGGUAGCUUAACCUUCGGGAGGGCGCUUACCACUUUGUGAUUCAUGACUGGGGUGAAGUCGUAACAAGGUAACCGUAGGGGAACCUGCGGUUG